rnacentral:rRNA from 1 species
ACGCACGCUGGCGGCGUGCUUCACACAUGCAAGUCGCACGGAAAGGCCCUGCUUUUGUGGGGUGCUCGAGUGGCGAACGGGUGAGUAACACGUGAGUAACCUGCCCUUGACUUUAGGAUAACUUCAGGAAACUGGGGCUAAUACGGGAUAGGAGCUCCUGCUGCAUGGUGGGGGUUGGAAAGUUUCGGCGGUUGGGGAUGGACUCGCGGCUUAUCAGCUUGUUGGUGGGGUAGUGGCUUACCAAGGCUUUGACGGGUAGCCGGCCUGAGAGGGUGACCGGCCACAUUGGGACUGAGAUACGGCCCAGACUCCUACGGGAGGCAGCAGUGGGGAAUAUUGCACAAUGGGCGGAAGCCUGAUGCAGCAACGCCGCGUGCGGGAUGACGGCCUUCGGGUGGUAAACCGCUUUCGCCUGUGACGAAGCGUGAGUGACGGUAAUGGGUAAAGAAGCACCGGCUAACUACGU